rnacentral:rRNA from 1 species
GACGAACGCUGGCGGCGUGCUUAACACAUGCAAGUCGAACGAUGAACCCGUAGCUUGCUCCGGUGGAUUAGUGGCGAACGGGUGAGUAACACGUGAGUAACCUGCCCUUGACUAUGGGAUAACUGCGGGAAACUGUAGCUAAUACCGGAUACGACCCUCGGCGGCAUCGCCAGGGGGUGGAAAGAAUUUCGGUCAAGGAUGGACUCACGGCCUAUCAGCUAGGUGGGGAGGUAACGGCUCACCAAGGCGACGACGGGUAGCCGACCUGUGAGGGUCACCGGACACACAGGGACGGAGGCACGGCCCAGACUCCUGCGGGAGGCAGUAGUGGAGAAGAUUGCAAAAUGGGUGGAAGCCUGAGGCGGUAGCGCCGCGUGAGGGAUGACGGCCUUCGGGUUGUGAACCUCUUUUAGUAAGGAAGAAGAGAAAGUGACGGUACCUGCAGAAAAAGCACCGGCUAACUACGUGCCAGCCGCCGCGGUAA